AACGAACGCUGGCGGCAUGCCUAACACAUGCAAGUCGAACGAACUCUUCGGAGUUAGUGGCGCACGGGUGCGUAACGCGUGGGUAUCUGCCCUUGGGUACGGAAUAACUCAGAGAAAUUUGUGCUAAUACCGUAUAAUGUCUUCGGACCAAAGAUUUAUCGCCCAAGGAUGAGCCCGCGUAAGAUUAGCUUGUUGGUGAG
rnacentral:rRNA from 1 species